rnacentral:rRNA from 1 species
GACGAACGCUGGCGGCGUGCUUAACACAUGCAAGUCGAACGGAAAGACCCUGCUUUUGUGGGGUGCUCGAGUGGCGAACGGGUGAGUAACACGUGAGUAACCUGCACUUGCCUUUGGGAUAACUUCAGGAAACUGGGGCUCAUACCGGAUAGGAGCUCCUGCUGCAUGGUGGGGGUUGGAAAGUUUCGGCGGUUGGGGAUGGACUCGCGGCUUAUCAGCUUGUUGGUGGGGUAGUGGCUUACCAAGGCUUUGACGGGUAGCCGGCCUGAGAGGGUGACCGGCAACAUGGGGACUGAGAUACGGCCCAGACUCCUACGGGAGGCAGCAGUGGGGAAUAUUGCACGAUGGGCGGAAGCCUGAUGCAGCAACGCCGCGUGCGGGAUGACGGCCUUCGGGUUGUAAACCGCUUUCGCCUGUGACGAAGCGUGAGUGACGGUAAUGGGUAAAGAAGCACCGGCUAACUACGUG